CCUACGGGAGACAGCAGUGGGGGAUAUUGCACAAUGGGGGGAACCCUGAUGCAGCGACGCCGCGUGGGUGAAGGAGUGCUUCGGCAUGUAAAGCCCUAUCGGCAGGGAAGAAGCAAGACGGUACCUGACGAAGAAGCCCCGGCUAACUACGUGCCAGCAGCCGCGGUAAUAGGUAGGGGGCGAGCGUUAUCCGGAUUAACUGGGGGAAAAGGGAGCGUAGACGGCCAUGCAAGCCAGGGGGGAAAGCCCGGGGCCCAACCCCGGGACUGCCCUUGGAACUGCAUGGCUGGAGUGCGGGAGGGGCAGGCGGACUUCCUGGUGUAGCGGUGAAUUGCGUAGAUCUCAGGCGGACCCCCGGCGUCGAAGGCGGCCUGCUGGACCGCGACUGACGUUGAGGCUCGAAAGCGUGGGGAGCGAACAGGAUUAGAUACCCGUGUAGUC
rnacentral:rRNA from 1 species